GACGAACGCUGGCGGCGUGCUUAACACAUGCAAGUCGAACGGACAGGCCCUGCUUUUGCUGGUUUCACGAUUGCCGCACGCGGGAGUAACACGUGAGUAUCCUGCCCUUGACUGUGUGAGAACUUCAGGAAACUGGGGCUAUUACCGGAUAUGAGCUCCUGCUGCGUGUUGUGGGUUGGAAAGUUUCGGCGUUUGUGGAUGGACUCGCGGCUUAUCAGCUUGUUUGUGGGGUAGUGGCUUACCAAGGCUUUGACGGGUAGCCGGCCUGAGAGGGUGACCGGCGACCUUGCGACUGCGAGACGGACCAGAAUCCUACCGGAGGCAGCAGGCGAGAACAUUGCACAGUGGGGGGACGCGAGAUGCAGAAACGCCGCGUGCGGGAUGCCGGCCUUCGGGGUGUAAACAGAUUUGGAAUGUGACGAAGAGUGAGUGACGGUAAUGAGUCAAGAAGCAACGGCUAACUACGUG
rnacentral:rRNA from 1 species